CCUAUUCACCUUCCAGAGCACCCCUGGGUGCCCAGUGGCCAUGGGCACGAUGCUGCCGCCAUCACAAAGCCGUGGCGGUCGCUGUGGAGACGUCCAUUGUGACAGGGGCCCCCACGGUGAGCGUGGGCUAUUUAAGGAGCGAGAGCCCUGGAGUUAACCAGUGCAG